UACGAAGGGGGCGAGCGUUGUUCGGAUUUACUGGGCGUAAAGGGCGCGUAGGCGGCGCAACAAGUCACUUGUGAAAUCUCCGGGCUUAACCCGGAGCGGCCAAGUGAUACUGUCGUGCUAGAGUGCGGAAGGGGCUACUGGAAUUCUCGGUGUAGCGGUGAAAUGCGUAGAUAUGCGGAGGAACACCGAUGGCGAAGGCAAUCCCCUGGGCCUGCACUGACGCUCAUGCACGAAAGCGUGGGGAGCAAACAGG
rnacentral:rRNA from 1 species